UGGGGAAUCUUCCGUNAUGGACGAAAGUCUGACGGAGCAACGCCGCGUGAGUGAUGACGGCCUUCGGGUUGUAAAGCUCUGUUAAUCGGGACGAAUGGUUCUUGUGCAAAUAGUGCGAGGAUUUGACGGUACCGGAAUAGAAAGCCACGGCUAACUACGUGCCAGCAGCCGCGGUAAUACGUAGGUGGCAAGCGUUGUCCGGAAUUAUUGGGCGUAAAGCGCGCGCAGGCGGAUUGGUCAGUCUGUCUUAAAAGUUCGGGGCUUAACCCCGUGAUGGGAUGGAAACUGCCAAUCUAGAGUAUCGGAGAGGAAAGUGGAAUUCCUAGUGUAGCGGUGAAAUGCGUAGAUAUUAGGAAGAACACCAGUGGCGAAGGCGACUUUCUGGACGAAAACUGACGCUGAGGCGCGAAAGCCAGGGGAGCGAACGGGAUUAGAUACCCCGGUAGUCCUGGCCGUAAACGAUGGGUACUAGGUGUAGGAGGUAUCGACCCCUUCUGUGCCGGAGUUAACGCAAUAAGUACCCCGCCUGGGGAGUACGACCGCAAGGUUG
rnacentral:rRNA from 1 species